CAGCUGUCUUCCAUCACCAACCCCACACCCGGCUGGCUUCUCAGAGGAGAGGGAAAGCUUAAUUUUCCAUUAAUGAAGGCAUAAAGCAGCUCCUGGACCCCCUGCUAAACUUAUACACAUGAAGGAGUGGUAGCAAAGGGAGAGCAGCAGCCAAAAGUGUCCACAGCCUUAUUCCUGCUUGUGAAAAGAUGUUUACUCAUUCUGCAAACAACAAAAGGGGGAAAAAAGGGGGAGACGAAAGAAAACCAAACCAGAACUCAACAGAGUAGGAGCAAAACCAGACUGGCGUGAAGGCGGGUGCAGAGACAGAGCUCCAGCGUGAUAGGGGUUUAUAAAUGUACGACAACUGCAUGAGCUGCGAGUCUCGUACAUGGCUCUAAAGUGGAACCAGCUGCCAGCGCCUGGCUCCCUCGCAGCAGAAGCUCUGGGACACGUCAAGAAAAGCUCCCCAGUGCUGCAAACAAUUACAGCGGGUUUUUAUUUGUUCCAUGUUAUCAAAGGUCUUAGGCUGGAGAAAAGAGAAAUGUGAAGGGAAAUAGGAACAAAAUAGCAGACAAGGUGGACAAGGGCUUUGCUUGGGUUUAGUUUGGUCUUGACUGGGUUAAACGCAAGAAGAGGAUCCCAUAUCCCACUCCCAUUUCUCUAUAGUAGAGAAAUUUUAAGUCCCUCCUCAAUCUGCGGAGCAUUUAGGCUGUAUUUUAACAGAGCCCUUAAAUAUGUGCCUAAUUUUAAGCACCUGAUUUAUUCUAUCGACUGCAAGCCUAGACUGCCAGUGGGUGAUGCACAAUGUAGAUAACACUGAUUUAAUUUUAUUCAAUAACUCGCAGAUAAUUCAGGGCCCAUAAUAUAAAGAUAUCGUUACCCUCGUUUAUUGCUUCUACCACAUGUAACGUGUUUGGUGUCCUGGACACAACCAAGUGGUUAAAGUGCUGCUGAGAUAGACCCUUCCAAUUAGGAGAACGCUGGGAAAACAUUGACAAACAACUGGCUUGAAUGGAGCCCAAGCAUUCCCUUUGACAAUGUGCACUGCAUUUAGAAGAUGCAUUUUGGCUGGAGAAGGAACAUUUUGGCCAGGUAUUAAGCAUAUUUGCUCAAAGAGAAAUGCCUGUGGAAACCUGAGAAGGUGGUUUUGCACUGAAGAGUUCACACAGUGGGCUUGACCUCGUACUGAUUCCCUCCUAGCUUCAUAUAAACAUCUUAAUUAUCUCAUCACAGGCUGGAAACCAUAUAACGAAGGAGAUAUUUGUAUCUGCCCCACCACAGAACAUCACUUGUGAUAAUGAAUUUCAUGUUUAUCAGAUGAAGACUUCAGGAGUCUAAGUUGAAGUUUGGGAAAUAGCACAAAAUGUCCAACAUCUCGGAGGGCAAACAAGUUCUUGGAAACCACAGUCAGGAACAAACCAAAGUAGUAGAAAUUCCAGUUGAAAAUGUUAGACUGGUUCCCUGCCUUCUGUUGGCAGUCAGAUUUUGGGAAAGAACAAUUAGUGUAAUAGGUUCUGGGAGCUAUUGAGCCAGAAACUGAGAAAAAUGGAAACCAAGAGAAACAGCUGGAAUAUCUUCUCAUUCUUAUUUAGAUUGCGGUUACAGCAGCUGAAUGGCUAUUUUUUCUGAUCCACUUGUGUAAUACUGAAAACUGGGGAGGGGAGGAAUUGUCCCAAGUCGACCUCAUGGAACAAAGGGGAAAAACUGUGGGACAAAAAG